AAACUAUUGUUAAGGAACUCGGCAAAAUGACCCCGUAACUUAGGGAGAAGGGGUGCCUGUCUAUGACAGGCCGCAGAGAAUAGGCCCAAGCGACUGUUUACCAAAAACACAGGUUUCUGCUAAGUCGCAAGACGAUGUAUAGGAGCUGACGCCUGCCCGGUGCUGGAAGGUUAAGGGGAUCUGUUAGAGCAAUCGAAGCAGUGAACUUAAGCCCCAGUAAACGGCGGCCGUAACAAUAACGGUCCUAAGGUAGCGAAAUUCCUUGUCGGGUAAGUUCCGACCCGCACGAAAGGCGUAACGAUUUGGGCACUGUCUCAACAAUAGACUCGGUGAAAUUGUAAUCCCGGUGAAGAUGCCGGGUACCUGCGACAGGACGGAAAGACCCCAUGGAGCUUUACUGUAGCUUGACGUUGGGUCUUGGUACUACAUGUACAGGAUAGGUGGGAGACUAUGAAGCAUGGACGCCAGUCUGUGUGGAGUCAUCCUUGGGAUACCACCCUUGUAGUACUGGGGUCCUAACCAUAGGCCUUGAAUCAGGUCUUGGAACACCGUCAGGUGGGCAGUUUGACUGGGGCGGUCGCCUCCUAAAAAGUAACGGAGGCGCUCAAAGGUUUCCUCAGCACGGUCGGAAACCGUGCGAAGAGUGUAAAGGCAAAAGGAAGCUUGAUUGCAAGACAUACAGGUCGAGCAAGGACGAAAGUCGGACUUAGUGAUCCGGUGGUACCGCAUGGAAGGGCCAUCGCUCAACGGAUAAAAGCUACCCUGGGGAUAACAGGCUUAUCUCCCCCAAGAGUCCACAUCGACGGGGAGGUUUGGCACCUCGAUGUCGGCUCAUCACAUCCUGGGGCUGUAGUAGGUCCCAAGGGUUGGGCUGUUCGCCCAUUAAAGUGGUACGCGAGCUGGGUUCAGAACGUCGUGAGACAGUUCGGUCCCUAUCCGUCGCAGGCGUAGGAAAUUUGAGAAGACCUGUCCUUAGUACGAGAGGACCGGGAUGGACGUACCUCUGGUGUACCAGUUGUUCUGCCAAGGGCAUGGCUGGGUAGCUAUGUACGGAAUGGAUAAGCGCUGAAAGCAUCUAAGCGCGAAGCCAACUUCAAGAUAAGAUUUCCCACCGUAAGGGUAAGACCCCAGGAAGACUACCUGGUUGAUAGGUCGAAGGUGUAAGUGCAGUAAUGUAUUUAGCUUAUCGAUACUAAUAGGUCGAGGACUUAACCUA
rnacentral:rRNA from 1 species